AGGAUCAGUGAUGACGACUGGUGGCGAACGCAUUACAUAGAUGACUGCAUGUCUUGGAACUCUGAGGUCUAU